AUACUACUCCCUCCGUUGGAAAAUACUUGUCAUUGAAAUGGAUGUAUCUAGAUGUAUUUUAGUUCUAGACACAUCCAUUUUGAUGACAAGUAAUUCCGGACGGAGGGAGUAUUAU
rnacentral:pre_miRNA from 1 species